UCUUACACGCCACUGUCUUAUGCGUCAUCUCCUUUUUGCUUUCCUUUUCUCUUUCUUCAGCUUUCCCAUUCUAUCGUCUUCCUCUCACUUUUCCUUUCUCUUGCUCGGCUCUUUCUCUUUAUACUUACUCUAUCGCUCCUUUUCUCUCCAAGGUUCUUCAAAAAUCUAGGUUCUACUUACAAAGUGUGCUUUCGCUUCUGCCGUUGAUUCCAUUUCCGAUCGCGGUGUAAUGGGUAUCGAUCAGCUGCAGUGCUUCCUCGUCGUGGUCCAUAAAGAGGAGAAUGUCACGGUUGCUGAUGCCCAGACUAUCAUGAAUAGCCGGGACGAGUUGAGGCACCACUACAUAUUUCUUCGCCAGAGACUCAAUCUUGAGGGAUUUUUUAAGUAUUUGUUUGGGGAUUCUGCCGAAACAUACUCUCUCCGCUCCAGAUGAUGCUGAUGACUCAUGCUCCAUUUCAGCCCAAGAGCAUCAAGGGAAUGAUACAGCUUGGGUGUGGCAUGCUGUAGAUUUUGCAGAUGGAGAGUUACAGCUAUAGGUGAAGUAAAAGUAUUGAAGCAGCAAACAAGCGCACAAAGAAGGGUAAACAUGUGAAAGAUCCUAACAAGCUGGAGAUGCCUGCCAGUGUUUUCCUUGUUUCAUGGAAUUCAACAAAACCUACAAAGAGAAGCGCCCUAACAACAAAUCUAUGGCCGUUGUAGCAAAAGCUGUAGGAGGCGAGUGGAAAUAACUUUUAGCUGCUGUGAGCAUUAAACAUUUUAUUAUUUUCUCAAUUGUAAAUUUAUUUAUGUACUUGUUCUAAAUUUCUGUUUAUUAAUUUCAGGGAAAGCUCCUUAUAUAGCAAAGGCAGAGAAAAGGAAGGUCGAUUGUGAAAGGAAAUUUGAGCUUAUGACAAAAACUGGAAGCAUGGGUAGCGAAGCCAACUACACUAUGGCACGUAAAUAUGGAAGAAUGGGUAUGGCUACUAUUCAUAAGCUGGAUGGCCAUGUAAGCCUAGACACUUUGGAAUGAGCUGCGAUAGCCGAGCUGUGUGUAAGUGGAUUCGUGUAAAAGUUUGAUUUUCCUUUUGUUUGUGUGGUUAACUUCUCUCUUUUCAUUCAUUUUCCUCAUUUUCACACGCAAUCUCGAUAUCUCUCUUCAUACUUUCAUACCUGUUUUCAUUUUCUCUGUAGCUGUUCUUUCUGUCACCAAAAUCACUGUCUUGUAAUUGUCUCUUUUCUUGCAAUAUUGGUACGUUGAUAGAUACUAUUUGUGGUGAACCUUAAAUCUUUAUUCUUCUUCA